rnacentral:rRNA from 1 species
CUAUUAAUACCCCCAAAAACACCGAUUGAUAAACAACAAACCAUUUUUCCUCCCAAGUACGGGCGACAGAAAAGGACACCUACAUGAGCCAUAAAAAAGUACCGCAAGGGAACGCUGAAAAAGAAAUGAAACAAACCAGUAAAGUUUUAAAAAGCAGAGACUUAUACUCGUACCUUUUGCAUCAUGACUUAGCAAGUAAAAACCAAGCAAAGGGCACUUUAGUUUGACUCCCCGAAACUAAGUGAGCUACUCCAAGACAGCCUAAAAGCAGGGCUAACCCGUCUCUGUGGCAAAAGAGUGGGAUGAUCUUAGAGUAGAGGUGACAAACCUAUCGAACUUAGUAAUAGCUGGUUGCCUAAGAAAUGAAUAGGAGUUCAGCUUUUUGAUUUUUCUUCUCAAAUUUAUUUUACUUAUAACUGACCCAGAAAACACCAAAAAAGUUAAUUAAAGGGGGUACAGCCCCUUUAAAACAAGAUACGACUUCAUCGGCCGGGUAAGGAUCAUAAUUAUUAAGGCAAAAAUGUUUUAGUGGGCCUGAAAGCAGCCACCUACAAGAAAGCGUUAAAGCUCAUUCAUACUUUCGCCAUCAAUUUAGAUAACAAAUCCCAACCCGCUAAUUUUAUUAGGCCGCCCCAUGUAUACAUGGGGGUGAUUCUGCUAAUAUGAGUAAUAAGAAAAAUCCAGUUUUUCUCCUUGCACACGUGUAAAUCGAAACGGACCCCCCACCGAAUUUUAAUCGGCCCCAAAAGAGGGUAAUGAGCCACUAACUUUGGUAACAAGAAAAAUACCCAAAGAUUAACCGUUAGCCCCACACUGGUGUGCCUACAAGGAAAGACUAAAAGAAAAAGAAGGAACUCGGCAAAUACAAGCCUCGCCUGUUUACCAAAAACACCGCCUCUUGUAUACAAAAAAUAAGAGGUCA